UCACAUGUAGCUCAGCGGUUAGAGCGUCAGGCAAGUUGCCUGGAAGUCACAGGUUCGAAUCCUGUCUUGUGAA
rnacentral:tRNA from 1 species